rnacentral:ncRNA from 2 species
UUAAUAAGUAGAGGUGCAUUGAAGAAAAGUACGCAGUAGGUGUUAAGAGGAAGAGGACUCAAUACUACUGGGGAAAGGCUGACGUGCCGAAGUCGUUGAAAGAACUCUAGAUUAACGGCUGGGGGGACUGGUGAAAAACUGGCUCACUGUCAUAGAUUGUAUCUAUGGAGUGCUAUUUGUUGA